UGGAGGGUCAUUGGAACUGGGAGACUUGAGUGCAGAAGAGGAAAGUGGAAUUUCCAUGUGUAGCGGUGACCAAUCAGCGUAGACGAUAUGGAGGAACACAGUGGCGAAGGCGACUUUCUGGUCUGUAACUGACACUGAGGCGCGAAAGCGUCAGGGACAGAGCAAACAGUCGCAUUAGAUACCCUGGUAGUCCACGCCGUAUAACGAUGCAGUGCUAAGUGUUAGAUGGGUUUCCGCUUUCCUUUAGUGCACUGAAGUCUAACAGCAUUCAAGCACUCCGCCUGGGGAGUACGGCCGCAAGGCUGAAACAUCAAAGGAAUUGACGGGGGCCCGCACAAGCGGUGGAGCAUGUGGUUUAAUUCGAAGCAACGCGAAGAACGCUUGCCACCUAGGUCUUGACAUCGGCUGCUGAAAACCCUAGUUAGAUAGGGCUUUCUCCUUCGGGACCGUCAGAGUGACAGGUGGUGCAACUAGGACUUGUCGUCAGCUCGUGUCGUGAGAUGUUGGGUUAAGUCCCGCAACGAGCGCAACCCUUGAUCUUAGUUGCUCCAUCAUUAAGUUCGGGCACUGCGUAAGAGUGACUGCCGGUGACAAACCGGAGGAAGGUGGGCCGUAUGACAGUCCCAAAGUCAUCGAUGCCCCUUAUGACCUGGGCUACACAUCGUUGCUACAAUGAGACGGUACCUAAAGAGCUAGCAAGACCGCGAGGUGGAGCUAAUCUCAUAAGUAACCGUUCUCAGUUCGGAUUGUAGGCUGCAACUCGCCUACAGUUGAAGCUGGAAUCCGCUAGUAAUCGCGGUAUCCAGCAGUUGCCGCGGUCGAAUGGGCACGUUACCCGGGCCUUAGUCACACGACCGCCCAUCACUACCUACGAGCAAGUUUGUAAUCCAUUCGCCCGACUUGCAUGUAUUAGGCACGCCGCCAG
rnacentral:rRNA from 1 species